GACGAACGCUGGCGGCGUGCUUAACACAUGCAAGUCGAACGGAAAGGCCCUGCUUGCCGGGUGCUCGAGUGGCGAACGGGUGAGUAACACGUGGGUGAUCUGCCCCUUACUUUGGGAUAAGCCUGGGAAACUGGGUCUAAUACUGGAUAGGACCAUGCUGUAGGUGGUGUGGUGGAAAGAUUAGUUUCGGUAAGGGAUGAGCUCGCGGCCUAUCAGCUUGUUGGUGGGGUAAUGGCCUACCAAGGCGUCGACGGGUAGCCGGCCUGAGAGGGUGGACGGCCACAUUGGGACUGAGAUACGGCCCAGACUCCUACGGGAGGCAGCAGUGGGGAAUAUUGCACAAUGGGCGCAAGCCUGAUGCAGCGACGCCGCGUGGGGGAUGACGGCCUUCGGGUUGUAAACUCCUUUCGGCCAUGACGAAGCCCUUGUGGUGACGGUAGUGGUAGAAGAAGCACCGGCUAACUACGUG
rnacentral:rRNA from 1 species